GGGCCUGUAGCUCAGUUGGUUAAAAACAGUGGACUCAUAAUCCUUGGUCGGAGGUUCGAGUCCUCCCGGGCCCACCA
rnacentral:tRNA from 1 species